rnacentral:misc_RNA from 1 species
GUUAACUAUUAUUUUUUAAAGUGAAAAUUAUAUAUCAAACUGUUUGAAAUUAAUUAAUAUCCUUUUUAAUUUGAUUUUUAUAAUUUUUAUAGUGGAUUAAAUUUUCAGUUUUUCCUUUCAACCUCUACUUUAAAGUGGUGUUUAUGAUACAUCAAUUCUUUCCCAGAAUUGGGGUUUUGACAUCAAUUCUUUCUCAAAAUACUGUGUUGGCCUUAAAUCUCUUUUUUAACAACCUUCGCAUGUAAUCCCAAAGAGCAUCCUCUGUAAGCCCCUUCAUAAAAUACUAAAACCUAACCUCUAUAAGUAAUGAGAAAUGAUGACCGGCCACUCCCUUUACAAAGGACUUGGGGCUUAAUGUUCUUACGAUCACAAACAAAUUUAAUAGCUUUGACAACAGCAACAGAAUACCCUACCAGCCCAUGAGUCACAGAGCAGUAUCAAACACUUGCAUUUGGAUUGUGGGCACCGAGACAGACUAAUUGGCAAUAGAUCUAAACUAGGCAAGUGACUUCCCUCAUCAUUUCCAGUUCUAGGUUCAAACUCCAUAAGCUCUUUAUAAUUCGCGUCCCUUCGAACCUAGAACGCUGGAAUACUUCUGCAUCUUGUGGUCACUAGCCUUAACUUGGUAUUUCUAGCAAUUCAACUAUUAUGUACUUAAAAGAUAUUGUCUUCUCAGUGUUGUUAAGCUUAGAUUUCGAACUUGGAUGACAAAGAAGGCUAGAGAACUUAGAGUGAGCGCCUGAGCUGAUCACUUUGUCUACAAUCUUGGUAGUUUUGAUAUGAGUACUAGGCUCUAUCCACAACAAAGCAAGCAAUUCCCUGAAGCUCUAGCUCAAAUUUAAGCUAUUUGAUUGUGAACCCUGAUGUGAUGAAUUGAUGGUGAUGAGUGGGUGACCAGUGUUGGAUUCUCUUGAGGAUUUGGGGUUGUGAAUUUUUUAUGAGAAAUGAUAUAAUUGUUUUGACUAUAGAUGAUAUGUUUCCAAUAAUGGAGAGAUCAUAGCCUGAAAAACUUGUCGAGCCAUGAAUUUGUACUAUUAUCAAGUAGAGCUAUUUUA